ACCUUUUUUUCAACCUUUUGGCUAAGAUCAAAUGUAGUAUCUGUUCUUGUCAGCUUAAUAUUUGAUGUGUGGCCCAUUGGCUCGCAUGAUUUUAAAUUUAUUUUUUAAGGAAGCAGAUCUAUCAAGGUAGCUUGCUACUUGGAUUUGUGAACGUCGCUCAUAUGUUGCACUAUUGCAUGGACCUGACGCACCCAAC